AUUAAAGUGGCAGAAUGAGUAUGCGAGGGAUUUAAGCUCCCUAAAUGAAUUUUCCUUUAAUA
rnacentral:tRNA from 1 species